ACAGGUUGGCAAACAAGAGACAGAGAAGUCAUCGGAGAAAUAAUGGCACCCAGACUACGGAAAGGGCUGUACACAGUCUUUGCCAUCACAAUGAGGUUCAGGGAUAAUCUUUGAUGUUCUAAAUGUGCUGCAAUGGCAAAAUCUUCAACCCUGCUUUCAAGAAUCUGGAGUCCCUGAUGAUCAGGAUUUGGGGAACCGUGUUUGCUUUGGAGAAGACUUUCAGAGCCCCUUGAAUCACAG